CGUGCAAGGCAGAAGUUGUCAAGAAAUGAAGACAGCUUAUUUUCGUCCACAAGACAACUUUUUCGCCGAAGGCCUGCAUUAAUUCGAGGAAGUUCUGGUGGUCGCAUGCAGCACGUCAUAUGGAAAACGAGCCUAUUUCUUCUGCCUGGGCCAGAUAAUGAAGUGCUGCCUGCAACAACAGAGUUGGUCCAAAUGGCCAAACAUGGGCUUGGAAAACCUGCACAUGAGUCCCCCUGCACAAGAGUGAAGUCAAAAAUUGAUCUAAACUGGAGUUUAUCUGAUUUGAAUAAUUUCAUAUGUCAAAGUUAUCCAAAAUUUAACUUAAAUUUAGUGGGGUUUCAAUUGGCACGGACUGGGAAGGGAAGGAAGAUACAAAUACUAAAAGUGGCCUCAGUACAAGAACUAAAGAAAUCAGUGGGGAAAAGCCGACUUUACAUCAUCCCACAGGGCCCCAUUUUGCAGAUUACUCAGACUACUCCAUCCGAUGAACCAGUCUCUGUUGAUGAACCAGUCUCUGUUGAUGAACCAGUCUGUGUUGAUGAACCAGUCU